UCGCCCGUGGCGCGGGCCAUGCCCGCGUUGCGGGCGCGGCCGAGGCCCUGGUUCUCCGCCAGGUGCACGGCC
rnacentral:tRNA from 1 species